UUUCUUUUAUUUGAAUAAAUCUUUAUUUUCUUCAAAUCUGGAAUAAAAUUUAAAUAACAAAAAUCAAGUCUAAAAUCAACAAAAUAAAUAAAAUUAGACUAAAGUUUAAAGUUGAGAAGUGAUAAAUUAUACUCAAUUAUGCAAGUCAUCACUAAGCAUGAUGUGAUUGUAGUUAUGCUCUGAUUCUUGGUGUCAUGUAUUGGUUAUUUAUGAUUCUUGCAAUAUGUUUUUUUAUGAAAUUAACACUUAUCUUUCAUUGAUCCCCAUGUCUACUGAAGGUACAAUUUUCUGGUUAGUCUUUUGAAAGAUGGUUUUGGUGAACUGGGAUCAGGUCUUGCACAUUGGUGCUUUGGUUAGUUUUAGUACGUAGCAAGAGAUUUUAUUCCUUGCCCAUUUAUAUGGUACAGUAUCUUUUGUUAGUGUUCUUUCUAUUGUCCUUAACCUCGUAUGUGGUUAUGCUUUCUGUGGCACCUUUAUGUGCCAAGUUCUAUAAAAUUUUUGAUUUUAUUAAAAAAAUUUUAAAUUGAUGCUUCUUUCUUUGGCUAAGCAUGAUGUGAUUGUAGUUAUGCUCUGAUACUUGGUUUCAUGUACUUUAUUGGUUAUUUAUGAUUCUUGCAAUUUAUUUUUUAUGAAAGUAGCGCUUAUCUUUCAUUGAUCCCCAUGUCUACUGAAGGUACAAUUUUCUGGUUAGUCUUUUGAAAGAUGGUUUUGGUGAACUGGGAUCAAGUCUUGCGCAGUGGUUCUUUGGUUAGUUUUAGUACGUAGCAAGAGAUUUUAUUUCUUGCCCAUUUAUAUGGUACAAUAUCUUUUGUUAGUGUUCUUUCUAUUGUCUUUAACCUCAUAUGUGGUUAUGCUUUCUGUGGCACCAUUAUGUGCCAUGUUCUAUAAAGUUUUUGAUUUUAUUUUGUUGUGUUUUUUCUUUCAUUAUACAAAAUGAUCAUCUUUUUCUAGUACAGACACAGCUCAGAAGUUUUAUUGGGAGCUUGUCCAUAUCAACCACCUUAGUCUACAAUAUUGUAUAGAUUAUUUGACAUCCUGGUGCUCUUUUGGGCUUAAAAUAGUAUUAAGUGUUAUAUCUCAUCUGUUUGGAUUUGUUCUUUGGAUCUGCAUCAGCUACUUUUGUAGGUGUUUCAAGCAGUGUGCUUGGAGCAGGUUUUGCAAGUUCUUACCCGAGGUGCUUGGAGCAGUAUCCCUAAAGACUGUUGUGGAUUUGAUUUCCUAGUCAUAGAAAGUCAGUGGGCUGGUAGACUGUUUCUGGUUCCCUUUUUUAUUGCCAUGUACUUCCAUUUCUCAUAUCCUUAGAGCUUAAGAUAUGAAUUUGGUCUUUUUGCACUAUGCUUUUUGGAGCUCAUCAUUGUGCCGUCUCAUAUGUUAUGAGUUGCAUUAUUUAUACAUUAUUGCUAUAAAUGUCAGGAAAUGAAAGUAUUUAUCUUGUAGAGAGGAGUUCUUCUAUUUUUUUUUUUGGCAACUUCUGCAAUUUGGAGUAUAUGUUAAAAUUUCAAUACUAACAUGUGCUUAGGAAGCAGAUUUUUUGUGCGUGCUUGGUUGCUUAAGUGGCAGAGUUUGAUUUGGCAAUAAGAUUUCUUUUCUUCCCACUUUUAUUAUUCUCUCCUACAAUCCUAGUGUCAUUUGGUGAUGGUUUGAAAUUUCAUUGAAUUCUUUUCCCUUUGUACUGCAAUCCUAUUUAAUCUUUGGUUAUUCUGUCUUGUUCAAAUGCAGUAAUGCCUCCUAUUGGUAUGAGACAGGUAGAUUGAUGGUGAUCGUGACCCAACUAUGGUUGCUGAUCAAUUAUGUUUUGCCCUGUUGGGAUUUCUAGGAAUUAAAUGAUUUUAACUUGUGUCUUUGGAUUUGCAUCAUAAUUCAUAAGAUUAGCAUGCUAUUGAUUUAUUUACUAGUCAUAGAAUGUGAUUGAGCAGAUGCCAUCCAUGUCCUAGCAAGACUUCUUUAUAUGCUGGUGAUGUUUGUUUUGUGGUUUUGUGACAAGUACAUUCCUAGUUCCCACAACUCUUUGUUUAGUGUUUGCAAGCUCCUCUCUUAUUUGAAUGUGAUUAUUUCUCUUAUUUGUGUGGGACAGGUAGAUUGAUGCCGAUAUAGUUGUUGCCAAGGAAGAAUUAUUCAGGUUAUUAUGUUGCAGCCGAUCCCUUAUUCAUAAUGUGAUUUGCAUCACUUAUUCUUGGCUGGCUGGUAAUGAUGGGUUUGAGAAGUUAAAUUUCUCAUGGUAAACGAAAAUUGGUUCUUGCAUUGUGUGUGUUUCAGGCUCCAUUUGUCCAGUUUUAACUAAGCCCAACACUAUUUGCCAUUUUUGUCUUGGUUCCUUUUUCUAUGGCCAUCUACUUGCACUUAUGACAAAUUUUAAGAACAUGAGAUCAUCAAUUUCGUCAUUGGGUAAUCAUAUAAGACUUAUAAAAAGGAGAAAAAAAAAGGUAAUCAUAUAAGAUAUUCGUGGAGUUGUUCUUUUAUUGUUGUUUCACAACUUUUGGAAUUCUGGGUGCAUGUGGAAAAUUCUCACCCGAAUUAUUUUUUAUGGUGCAUGGCAGCUAGGCAGUGGAGUGUUUGGUUUUGUGUGGCGAGAAGCUCUCUUUUCUUUCCUCUUUGUCUUCUUUAUUCUAUCCUUAAAUAAUUCUAUUACAUGGGUCAUGUAUGCUUUUUUUAGGCUUUUGUUAUCAAUGAGGGUUAUAAAUUUCGGUGUCACUCAAUGUGUUUGAAACUCAGUGCUAUUCUUGUCCAUUUGUCUUGCUUUUUUGUUUGAAUUCUAGUCAUUCUAUGUUGGCAAGCACAUAUCUAUUUUAUAUGUUGUAAGGCCUUUUAUUGGUGUGGGGUAGGUAGGGUAAUUGUGACUUAAAUAUGAUUGUCGUGGGACUAUAUACAAGUUUUUGCUCUAUCCUGCAGUGAUUUGCGUCAUAUUUUGUAAUCUUAUUUGUGGAUUGGUUUCCUAGUCAUAGAAAGGCAGUGGGUGGGUAGACUGUUGCUGGCUCCUUCUUUGAUUGCCAUGUACCUGCAUUUAUCAUAUCCUUUCAGAGCUGAAGAUCUUCAAUUUGGUCCUGUUGUACUAUAACCUUAUGCUUUUUGUGAAGAGUCAAAUAUGUUAUGAGUUGCAUUCAUUAAACAUUACUGCUCUAAAUGUCUGGGAAGGAAAGUAUUUAUCUUGUAGAGAAGAGUUCUUCUAUUUGUUUUUUCUCAACUUCUGUGUAAUAGAAUGCAACAAUGGAAAACACCUUUUGUUCUCUUAACUUUACUCUUCUUUUAUACAUCUUUUGAUAUACUCUUUUUGAAUGUGUUUACUAUGUUCUAUUUGUUUUAUAGAUUUUCGGUGCUUGGAUACUUUUCAAGGCUUUUGUUGCAGCCAAUUUGGCAUCUAGUUCAGUUUGGAUCUCUUGUAUAGGGGGAUAAAUAUGCUGCAUUUUCUGGUUUCAAUCAACUCCAGGGCUGCCCUACAUGUUUGUCCUGCUUCCAUUUUCUAUUGCCAUCAACUUGACUUAUCACAACUAUUCAGAACUUAAUAUCAUCAAUUUGUUAAAUUACAACCUAUGUAAUAUCAUUGUGGUUUCUUCAAAGGCAUUUUUCAAGGCAUCUCCAAGUGAUCUUCUCAUGCUUAUCCAACCUCAAGCCUUCAUCGAGCUUCCGCCUUGAGUUUGAGGGAGGGUGUUAGAGAUAUAUAUUAGACAUAUUAGCCCAAUGUAAUAGGCCCAAGCCCAUUCCUGCUUGUACUAGUAGUCUAGGGUUUAGUCGCCUAUAUAUACUCAUGUUAGGGUUCAUUGUAAUAGAGGAAGUUAUUGUA